AGAGUUUGAUCCUGGCUCAGGAUGAACGCUGGCGGUAUGCCUAAUACAUGCAAGUCGAACGCAUUGUCCCAUUGAAGCAUGACGUGCUUGCACUGAGUGUGGAUUUGGAUUUGCAAUGAGUGGCGAACGGGUGAGUAACACGUAGGUAACCUACCUCUAAGUUUGGAAUAACUAUUAGAAAUGAUAGCUAAUACCGGAUAACAUAUUUUGUCGCAUGACAGAAUAUUGAAAGGCGCUUUUAAGCGUUGCUUGGAGAUGGACCUGCGGUGCAUUAGCUAGUAGGUAAGGUAACGGCUUACCUAGGCAAUGAUGCAUAGCCGAGCUGAGAGGCUGAACGGCCACAAUGGAACUGAGACACGGUCCGUACUCCUACGGGAGGCAGCAGUAGGGAAUUUUUCGCAAUGGACGAAAGUCUGACGGAGCAAUACCGCGUGUGGGAUGAAUGUUUUCGGACUGUAAACCACUGUUGUAGGGGAAGAAAAAAUAAAUUAGGAAAUGAAUUUAUAUUGACGGUACCCUGCCAGAAAGCGACGGCUAACUACGUGCCAGCAGCCGCGGUAACACGUAGGUCGCGAGCGUUAUCCGGAAUUAUUGGGCGUAAAGAGUUCGUAGGUGGCCAAGCAAGUCUUGUGUGAAAGCCAACAGCUUAACUGUUGAACUGCAUAAGAUACUACUUGGCUAGAAUUUAGGAGAGGAAACUGGAAUUUCCAUGUGUAGCGGUGGAAUGCGUAGAUAUAUGGAGGAACACCAAUAGCGAAGGCAGGUUUCUGGACUAACAUUGACACUAAGGAACGAAAGCGUGGGUAGCAAACAGGAUUAGAUACCCUGGUAGUCCACGCCGUAAACGAUGGGUAUUAGAUAUCGGGAGAGAAUCUCGGUGCCGCAGCUAACGCAUUAAAUACCCCGCCUGGGGAGUACGACCACAAGGUUGAAACUCAAAGGAAUUGACGGGGACCCGCACAAGUGGUGGAGCAUGUAGUUUAAUUCGAGGAUACGCGAAGAACCUUACCAAAACUUGACAUCCUCAGCAAAGCUAUGGAAACAUAGUGGAGGUUAUCUGAGUGACAGGUGGUGCACGGUUGUCGUCAGCUCGUGUCGUGAGAUGUUGGGCUAAGUCCCGCAACGAGCGCAACCCUUAUCUUUAGUUGCUAACAUUUAGUUGAGGACUCUAGAGAGACUGCCGUUGAUAAAACGGAGGAAGGUGGGGAUGACGUCAAAUCAUCAUGCCCCUUAUGUUUUGGGCUACAUACGUGCAACAAUGGCUAAUACAACGAGCUGCUAAACCGUAAGGUCAUGCGAAUCUCUUAAAAUUAGUCUAAGUUCGGAUUGAGGUCUGCAACUCGACCUCAUGAAGUCGGAAUCACUAGUAAUCCCGGGUCAGCAUACCGGGGUGAAUACGUUCUCGGGUCUUGUACACACCGCCCGUCACACCACGAAAGUUUAUAACAUCCAAAGUCGUUGCUUUAACCUUCGGGAGAGGCGCGCCUAAGGUGGGAUAAAUGAUUGGGGUGAAGUCGUAACAAGGUAGCCGU
rnacentral:rRNA from 1 species